AAUUCUAAUUUUUCGAGGACGGCAACGAUGAGUUUAAUUUUUUUUAAAGAUUUAUACAGAAGAUACGUAAUGUAGCUACGCUCAAAGGAAACGAAGAAUCGAGAUCAGUUCCGCAAAUGUUAAAAUUAUCGUUGACAGAUGGAAAGAAUAAUUUUCAAGCCUUAGAAGUUGAACAUAUAUCGGCUUUAAGUUAGUUAAAACACGCCACCUGGUACAAAAAUACUGAUAAAAUCAGGAACUCUACCUGUGUCACAUGGACUUUCUUUAUUGACACCAGCGCAUUUAAUUUACGUACUUGGGGGAAAAGUUGCCAGUUUAGUGAAAAAAUGGGAAUUAGAUAAGAAAUUAGCUUCAUUCUUGAAUAACAUCUGCCGAGGAAGAUGAGCCACUACCGUGGAUACUAUUUGGUAAAAAAAUCGUAAAAGUAUUCGAGCAAGAUAAAAACUUCAAAGCCCCGGCAGAAACAGAAAAACCUAGCAAGGAGAAUAUGUAGUUUGAAGCUCAGCGCAAUUAAGGAUGUGAUAGCGGAAGCUGCCAAGCAAGGCAGCAAGAAAGUAUUUGGCGACGAGACUAAACAGGUUGACUUGCUUUUUUAUAUGUUCCAUUAAAUUAAAAGUUUGCGUUGAUGUCUGAAAAUCUAAUUUAUGUGCGUUUUACACAGCUAUUGGAUCAUAGCGUACAGAAAAUUGUGGAUCGUGGAUUUACCAUAAAUAUUCAGUAAAUAGAAAUAACGUGGAUAAAGCACUGAG